rnacentral:rRNA from 1 species
CAAUAGCGUAUAUUAAAGCUGUUGCGGUUAAAAAGCUCGUAGUUGGAUUUCUGUCAAGGACAACUGGUCCGCCCUCCGGGUGAGCACAUAGUUUGGUCUUGGCAUCUUGCUGGAAACUGUUGCUGCGCUUGGUUGUGUGGUGCAGCUUUCAGCACUUUCACUUUGAGGAAAUUGGAGUGUUUCAAGCAGGCACAUGCCUUUGGACACAGUAGCAUGGAAUAAUUAGAUUGGGCUUUUGCUCCAACUUGUUGGUUCCUGGAGCUGAGGUGAGAAUCAAUGGGGAUUGUUGGGGGCAUCCGAAUUUAGCCGUCUGAGGUGAAAUUCUUGGAUCUGCUAAAGACGGACAACUGCGAAAGCGUUUGCCCAGGAUGUUUNCAUUG